rnacentral:rRNA from 1 species
ACAUACGACCACAUCCAUAGGACCACACCGGGUCUCGUCCGCUCCCCGAUAGUUAAGCCUGUAAGAGGCAGAUUAGUAGUUGGGUCGGUGACGACCAGCGAAUACCGGCUGUUGUAUGUU